rnacentral:rRNA from 1 species
UGGUGGGAUGACUUGUCUGCUUAAUUGCGAUAACGAACGAGACCUUAACCUGCUAAAUAGCCCGCACUGCUCCGGCAGUGCGCUGGCUUCUUAGAGGGACUUUCGGCUCAAGCCGAAGGAAGUUUGAGGCAAUAACA